CAUGGCUGGAGGUAGAAGGAGGGGAAAAAAAUGCAGCCCAAUUGGAAUGAAGGACCAAGCAAUGCCUACAACAAGGUUGGGAAACUGGAAGAGGGAAGCAGAGAAGAUCAAGGUUUGAAGCUGGAGGAGAUUCAACCCCAAAUGACCCAUUGGUGCUGAAAGCAUUUUUGAGGCCGAAAGCAGGAAAUUGCACGCUUUUCCCCCGUUUGCCCUAAAUCUGGAUUACAUAAGAAAGAAAACCGGGGUGAAUUAUGAGCGCUGGCUGUUGUUGUUUGAUACGGAACAGAAGAAUCCAGUUGGAAUAAAGUGUGAAAUCUCUGUGAGGAGGUGGAUUAGUCACACACGAGGAGCCGUUCACCGAGCAAAAUCUGUUCACUGAGUCUCCGCAA